rnacentral:misc_RNA from 1 species
AAACCAAAUACAAAUCAGAGUGAUGGCAAAGAGGUAAACAUUUAA